GCUUUCAAAUAUCACUGUUGCUAAGGGAAAAAUCACUACUGUUUCCUCCUCAGCUUUCUCUUUGCUGCUCUCCCCCUUGUCAGUGAGGAUUAGGCUUGACUGCAGCUGAUUUUGCUGUCUCACUCCCUGCAAUGGGGUGCCAAGCAUUCCACAGUGACACAGCAGCUUUUCCCCUGUCCCUCCAUUUCCCUUGGCUGCUCCAACUCCCCCAAAGCCACGGGGCUGCAGAUUUUCAGCGAUGCAGGAUACCAUUAUGAAAAAGUUGUUAGAGGUUUGGCCCACCCCAAGUCCCCGAAUAGGCAAUGAAGAGAGAGGGACUCCUGGCUGGAAUCUGCAAAAGUGGUAAAGCACCCCUGCUUGGUUGUGAAAUCCCUGAGAGCAACACAGUGGACCUUAACAAAUAUUUCAA
rnacentral:lncRNA from 1 species